CCGUACCAGAACUUCCUGUUGGGGGACCACAGACCUUUGACAGGGGGGAACAUUGGAACUGAAUGUAAGGUGAAUCACAAGGAGAGGAGCAGCAGCUGACAUCUAUUUUUACUCCAGUUCUUCACUAGGUACUAAAGAUGAGAGGUACUGCUGCAUUAUGCUGGUCUCUUCUGCUUCUAAUAGCUCUCCUUAGUCAAAAUGUAACUGCUAAGGGGGGUCGAGGAGGAGCAAGGGGAGGGGCAAGAGGAUCUUCACGGGGGACAUCUCGCAUGCGUUUCAAGGCUCCAUCCCGUUAUGGGUCUCUUAGGGUUGCAUCACAAGCAGCUGCAGCUGGAGCAGCAGCUAGGGCUGCUGCCAGGUUAACAGGAAACACUUGGAGGAAUAAUGAUCACUCAGGGACGGAUACACAGUAUGGCAACAGCACCAAUGAAGGAAUGUACAGUUACAGGGCAUGGACAUCGGCAACCUGUCCUCUCUUUAGCCCACUCUCUUUCAAGCUGAUUUUCAGUAUAAGUGCCAUUUUCAACAUGUUCCUCUAGCAGCAUAUAUGAACCCACAUACAUUUUGGGGAAGUAACAGUGGUCAUUUUCUGUAAAGUAUCAAGGACUGGGAUUCUGUGAUAUGCCAGGCUGUUGCUUCAGUGUUUUCAAAUCACACUCAGGAUAGAGUCAUAUGCAGUCAUAUAGAUGUAACAUUUUGAUAAUACAAAUCAGUCUGGUUGGUUUAUGCCCCAAUAACUGCUGCUUUUGGUUAAUGGAAAAUUAUUAUUGUGACUCUGCAUAAGAUGCUGGUGCUUUGAUAUGGGAUAAGAAAUCUGAUGUAUGGAAUUUUAGCAGCUAUAUGCAAGGUCUAAAAAAUACCUGUACUAUGGAGCAGAUUAAUCAAGAUUAAAUUGUUUUGCCAUUUAAACUUUAGUAUUUGUGACAAUGCAAGAAAUUGUCAAAAAAUACCUUGACCUUGAUAAAUGUAUCCUGUAUGUUAUCAUUCAGAUCAUUGGUGAAUCAGUGUUAACUAUGCAGGUACCUUUACAGUACCAGAACUAGCAGCAAAUUAGUUCCUCCUGUCCAUUUU